rfam:Agrilus planipennis Contig42833, whole genome shotgun sequence.
GCAUAAUAAUUAUAAAUAAGUAUAUAACUUAUGGCUAGAGGUUUAGACCUACAAUCACCUAGAACACAAAACACACGGCUGAAGAGGACCUGAACCGAUAGGUCCUAGAACGGCCUGAGGUAGAGGGGUUUUAGUCGGUAGGUCCGAGGACACCUUCCUCGGGAAUCUGACACUACCCAGUUGUGCGGACGGCAGGGUGUCUUUUGAAGAUUUCCCCUCUUCCACGAAA